GAGGGCAUAGCUCAGUGAUAGAGUGUGUUUGGUACACAGGAGGUCCUGAGUUCAAUCCCCAGUACCUCCA
rnacentral:tRNA from 1 species